AUAUACAGUACGGUAUAGUAUUGGCGACAUUUAAUUUCCCCACUCACGGAAUACAAUCGACAAACUGGGAACAGAAUAUCAAAUUUCGUCUAGCUUUUGGCGACUUAUGAUACCCCUUUCACCGGCAAACACUGAAUUAUCGGACAACAUGAAAUCAGGGACUAAAUUCACCAGCAUUCAUGAUCCUCGGACCACCCGCCCCCUACGCACAGCCGAUUUAUAAAUGUUGCAUCUUUCAAUCAGUGUCAAUCCCAAGAAGAACCCUGACCAGCUCCUGGAAAAAUCAGUGUUCUUGCAGUAUUGUCAGUCAAAUCUCAAGGAAAGGAUCCCAGAAGAGGAACAUUUACAUUAUUUCAGACUUUUUUCUUUCCUGUGUAACAAUGCCUCAAACAGCUAACACAUUUUAUAUAGUAUACAAUACAAUGUGUAUUAAUAACAGUCCAGUUAGAGUGCUGUGUUAUGCAGUAAAAAUACUUAAUUCUUGAUGACAUGUUGGUUUUAUGUUUACAUUAAACGGUAGUUAUAAUAUAUACUAGAGAAACAUAGUGGAUAAUGCCUUGUACAGGAGCAGGAGUAUGACAGUGUAAUAGUACAUGACUGCUGCGUUCAUCCAUGGAAGGAGUCUGUUAUUCGAAAUAAAGCUUUCCAUGAGGACGAAAAA